UACGAGGGGUCCUAGCGUUGUUCGGAAUCAUUGGGCGUAAAGGGUGCGUAGGUUGCCAUUCAAGUCAGUUGUGAAAUCCCCGGGCUCAACCCGGGAAGUGCUUCUGAUACUGUUUGGCUUGAGUACUGGAGAGGGUAGUAGAAUUCCAGGUGUAGCGGUGAAAUGCGUAGAUAUCUGGAGGAACACCGGUGGCGAAGGCGCCCACCUGGCCUGCUACUGACGCUGAGGCUCGAAAGCUAGGGGAGCAAACGGGAUUAGAUACCCUGGUAGU
rnacentral:rRNA from 1 species